rnacentral:rRNA from 1 species
UCGAGAAUCUUCGGCAAUGGACGAAAGUCUGACCGAGCGACGCCGCGUGCGGGAUGAAGGCCCUCGGGUUGUAAACCGCUGUCAGUUAGGAGGAAAUCUAUGAGGGCACUCUCUCAUAGUUGACCGAUUUUCAGAGGAAGGACGGGCUAAGUUCGUGCCAGCAGCCGCGGUAAGACGAACCGUCCAAACGUUAUUCGGUAUCACUGGGCUUAAAGCGUGCGUAGGCGGCUUGGUAGGUGAGAUGUGAAAGCCCACGGCCCAACCGUGGAAUUGCGUUUCAAACCAUCAAGCUCGAGGAAGAUAGGGGUGAUGGGAACUUAUGGUGGAGCGGUGAAAUGCGUUGAUAUCAUAGGGAACACCGGUGGCGAAAGCGCAUCACUGGAUCUUUUCUGACGCUGAGGCACGAAAGCUAGGGUAGCGAACGGG